CCUACGGGAGGCAGCAGUGAGGAAUAUUGGUCAAUGGCCGAGAGGCUGAACCAGCCAAGUCGCGUGAGGGAAGACGGCCCUACGGGUUGUAAACCUCUUUUGUCGGGGAGCAAAGCGAACCACGUGUGGUUCAUUGAGAGUACCCGAAGAAAAAGCAUCGGCUAAAUCCGUGCCAGCAGCCGCGGUAAUACGGAGGAUCCGAGCGUUAUCCGGAUUUAUUGGGUUUAAAGGGUGCGCAGGCGGAGGUGCAAGUCAGCGGUCAAAUUGCGGGGCUCAACCCCGUACUGCCGUUGAAACUGCAUCCCUUGAGUGCGGGAGAAGUGUGCGGAAUGCGUGGUGUAGCGGUGAAAUGCAUAGAUAUCACGAAGAACUCCGAUUGCGAAGGCAGCAUACCGGCGCGCAACUGACGCUGAUGCACGAAAGCGUGGGUAUCGAACAGGAUUAGAUACCCGGGUAGUC
rnacentral:rRNA from 1 species